GAUGAACGCUAGCUACAGGCUUAACACAUGCAAGUCGAGGGGCAGCGCAGUGUAGCAAUACAUGGGCGGCGACCGGCGCACGGGUGCGUAACGCGUAUCCAACCUUCCCGUUACUCAGGGAUAGCCUUCCGAAAGGGAGAUUAAUACCUGAUGGUGUUGAAAUUCCGCAUGUUAUUUCAACUAAAGAUUAAUCGGUAACGGAUGGGGAUGCGUGACAUUAGAUAGUAGGCGGGGUAACGGCCCACCUAGUCUACGAUGUCUAGGGGUUCUGGGAGGAAGGUCCCCCACACUGGGACUGAGACACGGUCCAGACUCCUACGGGAGGCAGCAGUGAGGAAUAUUGGUCAAUGGUCGGAAGACUGAACCAGCCAAGUAGCGUGAAGGAUGAAGGUUCUAUGGAUUGUAAACUUCUUUUAUACGGGAAUAAAACCUCCCACGUGUGGGAGCUUGUAUGUACCGUAUGAAUAAGCAUCGGCUAACUCCGUGCCAGCAGCCGCCGUAACAC
rnacentral:rRNA from 1 species